rnacentral:rRNA from 1 species
GAUGAACGCUGGCGGCGUGCCUAAUACAUGUAAGUCGAGCGAACAGACGAGGAGCUUGCUCCUCUGACGUUAGCGGCGGACGGGUGAGUAACACGUGGAUAACCUACCUAUAAGACUGGGAUAACUUCGGGAAACCGGAGCUAAUACCGGAUAAUAUAUUGAACCGCAUGGUUCAAUAGUGAAAGACGGUUUUGCUGUCACUUAUAGAUGGAUCCGCGCCGCAUUAGCUAGUUGGUAAGGUAACGGCUUACCAAGGCAACGAUGCGUAGCCGACCUGAGAGGGUGGUCGGCCACACUGGAACUGAGACACGGUCCAGACUCCUACGGGAGGCAGCAGUAGGGAAUCUUCCGCAAUGGGCGAAAGCUUGACGGAGCAACGCCGCGUGAGUGAUGAAGGUCUUCGGAUCGUAAAACUCUGUUAUUAGGGAAGAACAAAUGUGUAAGUAACUAUGCACGUCUUGACGGUACCUAAUCAGAAAGCCACGGCUAACUACGUG